UAUUCAUUUGAAACAAAAGCA
rnacentral:piRNA from 1 species